GACGAACGCUGGCGGCGUGCUUAACACAUGCAAGUCGAACGGAAAGGCCCUUCGGGGUACUCGAGUGGCGAACGGGUGGGUAACACGUGGGUGAUCUGCCCUGCACUUUGGGAUAAGCCUGGGAAACUGGGUCUAAUACCGAAUAGGACCACGCGCUUCAUGGUGUGUGGUGGAAAGCUUUUGCGGUGUGGGAUGGGCCCGCGGCCUAUCAGCUUGUUGGUGGGGUAAUGGCCUACCAAGGCGACGACGGGUAGCCGGCCUGAGAGGGUGACCGGCCACACUGGGACUGAGAUACGGCCCAGACUCCUACGGGAGGCAGCAGUGGGGAAUAUUGCACAAUGGGCGCAAGCCUGGUGCAGCGACGCCGCGUGAGGGAUGACGGCCUUCGGGUUGUAAACCUCUUUCAAUAGGGACGAAGCGCAAGUGACGGUACCUAUAGAAGAAGCACCGGCCAACUACGUG
rnacentral:rRNA from 1 species